AUUGAACGCUGGCGGCAUGCCUUACACAUGCAAGUCGAACGGCAGCGGGGGAGAAGCUUGCUUUUCCUGCCGGCGAGUGGCGAACGGGUGAGUAAUACAUCGGAACGUGCCCUGUAGUGGGGGAUAACUAGUCGAAAGAUUAGCUAAUACCGCAUACGACCUGAGGGUGAAAGUGGGGGACCGCAAGGCCUCAUGCUAUAGGAGCGGCCGAUGUCUGAUUAGCUAGUUGGUGGGGUAAAGGCCUACCAAGGCGACGAUCAGUAGCUGGUCUGCGAGGACGAUCAGCCACACUGGGACUGAGACACGGCCCAGACUCCUACGGGAGGCAGCAAUGGGGAAUUUUGGACAAUGGGCGAAGGCCUGAUCCAGCAAUGCCGCGUGUGUGAAGAAGGCCUUCGGGUUGUAAAGCACUUUUGUCCGGAAAGAAAUGGCUCUGGUUAAUACCUGGGUUCGAUGACGGUACCGGAAGAAUAAGGACCGGCUAACUACGUGCCAGCCGCCGCCGUAA
rnacentral:rRNA from 1 species